rnacentral:rRNA from 1 species
AGUGAACGCUGGCGGUAGGCCUAACACAUGCAAGUCGAACGGCAGCACAGGAGAGCUUGCUCUCUGGGUGGCGAGUGGCGGACGGGUGAGGAAUACAUCGGAAUCGACUCUGUCGUGAGGGAUAACGUAGGGAAACUUACGCUAAUACCGAAUACGACCUACGGGUGAAAGCAGGGGACCUUCGGGCCUUGCGCGAUUGAAUGAGCCGAUGUCGGAUUAGCUAGUUGGCGGGGUAAAGGCCCACCAAGGCGACGAUCCGUAGCUGGUCUGAGAGGAUGAUCAGCCACACUGGAACUGAGACACGGUCCAGACUCCUACGGGAGGCAGCAGUGGGGAAUAUUGGACAAUGGGCGCAAGCCUGAUCCAGCCAUACCGCGUGGGUGAAGAAGGCCUUCGGGUUGUAAAGCCCUUUUGUUGGGAAAGAAAUCCAGCUGGCUAAUACCCGGUUGGGAUGACGGUACCCAAAGAAUAAGCACCGGCUAACUUCGUGCCAGCCGCCGCAGUAA